GGGGAAUUUUGGACAAUGGGCGCAAGCCUGAUCCAGCAAUGCCGCGUGCAGGAUGAAGGCCUUCGGGUUGUAAACCGCUUUUGUACGGAGCGAAAAGGCUCUCUUUAAUACAGAGGGCUCAUGACGGUACCGUAAGAAUAAGCACCGGCUAACUACGUGCCAGCAGCCGCGGUAAUACGUAGGGUGCAAGCGUUAAUCGGAAUUACUGGGCGUAAAGCGUGCGCAGGCGGUUUUGUAAGACAGAUGUGAAAUCCCCGGGCUCAACCUGGGACCUGCAUUUGUGACUGCAAGGCUAGAGUACGGUAGAGGGGGAUGGAAUUCCGCGUGUAGCAGUGAAAUGCGUGGAUAUGCGGAGGAACACCGAUGGCGAAGGCAAUCCCCUGGACCUGUACUGACGCUCAUGCACGAAAGCGUGGGGAGCAAAC
rnacentral:rRNA from 1 species